rfam:Danio rerio chromosome 2, GRCz11 reference primary assembly.
UGUCACAGCCAUAUCACCUUGCAGCCCAUUACUGGUUACUUACUGAAGCUAAGCAGGGCUGAGCCUGGUCAGUACCUAUAUGGGAGACCACAUGGGAAAACUAGGUUGCUGUUGGAA